rnacentral:ncRNA from 1 species
UGCAAAGUCGAUUAAAAGGGAAUCUGGUUUAAAUCCAGAACUGUUCCCGCAACUGUAAGUUUAUGUUCAACAUUAGUUGGACACCUUUUAAAGGAUGUUAUUCAAACUUAGACCACUGUUUUAUUAAAAAUGGGAAGGUAGAGUAACAUAUAACAAGUCAGGAGACCUGCCAGAAUUUGU